AUAUGUAAAGACCUAGAGUCCCAAGAGAGCACAGCCUGUUCAGGACCUGCUGCAAGAACAGCAUGCCUGAAGAAUAAGAGGUGGGCCGAGGUGGAUGGUGAGAUAUGGGAAGAAUUAUACGAGAUGAUGCUGGUGAGGUAGGAAGGCCUCACGGGCCAUGUUACAGUGUGGACUUUACCUCCACAACCAUGGAGAAUGAUGGAAGAGAUUCAAGCAGGGUUUGUAUGAUUAGAUUUGUUUCAGAAAGAUCACUCUGGGUAAAGUGUGAAUGGAUUGGGGGUGAAGUGGAGCAGGCACCAGACCAGAAGCAGAAAGUCGCUUAGGAGUCUCUUGAAGUGGCCCAAGCAGGAGAUGAUGGGGCCUAGGUCAGGGAAUGGUCGUGGAGUGAGAUUUCACAUGAGUGAAGAAGAGAGGGUAAAUUCCCCGUGUCUGGCAGACCCUGGGACUUUUAUUCAAGCUUGGAAAAAUCCUGUCUACCCCUCAAUACCAGAUAAGAAUCCCAAAUGGCUGUUGUUUUUGGAAUACCACUUAUAAUGUGAAUUACUUUCUCGUUUGUUUCAGAGACUAACCUAUGAAAAAGCAAGGGCUAUGGAUCAAGUCUUCUUUGAAGUGCCCUGUGCACUUCAUGGUUCUGGAGAGAAUUAGAAAACUUCCAGGAGUUUCCAAGAAUGCUGAUAUCCAGUUCACCACUUUACCCACUGGUGAGGAGAAGAAAGUCAAAGGAAACCAUAUGUCUAGACCUUGGUCUCCACUGGUGACCUCUGUCCACCUUGACCCUUUCUCUAUCAGAAGGCCUGCGGCUAGUGACUGAGGCGGGGGUGCACCACGUCUUCAACCAAGGGCAGCACAGAAGAAGUAGACUCCCUCUCAGCUGGAGGGUCUGAUGAUGCUUCUCUCCUCAUCAAAGCUGGAGGCAGGAGGCAGCUUCCUGUCCAUGACUCUCACCGCCUUGUCUUGGUCAUGGAAAGUUUUUAUUUGCUCCCCAAAUAGACCAGGGUUCUAUGAAUAGGCACACCCAGUUAUGAAUGGAGAGAAGCUUUAAAUCAGGAUAUUCUAACACCUUUAUUACUCACGGUCGGUAGGGACCACAAAUAUGGAGAUUAAAGUGUCCAUCAUGUCACUAGAAUCCCUUGGGUAUAGGAUCUUACGGCAUGGCCUUAUCUUUCUUUUAUCAAAACAUACACACACAAAAGACAUUUACCUGCCACAUGCACCCCCAGGAUUUGAAAAUGGAGCACAAUAAAAAUAAGCUGAC
rnacentral:lncRNA from 1 species